rnacentral:rRNA from 1 species
UACGUAGGAUGCAAGCGUUGUCCGGAUUUACUGGGCGUAAAGCGCACGCAGGUGGCUGAGUCAGUCGAUUGUGAAAGCCCUGGGCUUAACCUGGGAAUUGCAGUCGAUACUACUCAGCUAGAGUAUGGGAGAGGGCAGUGGAAUUCCCGGUGUAGCGGUGAAAUGCGUAGAUAUCGGGAGGAACAUCAGUGGCGAAGGCGGCUGCCUGGCCCAAUACUGACACUCAGGUGCGACAGCGUGGGGAGCAAACAGG